GACGUAGGUGGCGAGCGUUAUCCGGAUUUACUGGGCGUAAAGCGCGUGCAGGUGGUUUGAUAAGUCGGGCGUGAAAUCUCUUGGCUCAACUAGGAGAGGCCGUCCGAUACUAUCAGACUUGAGGGCAGUAGAGGGAGGUGGAAUUCCGGGUGUAGUGGUGAAAUGCGUAGAUAUCCGGAGGAACACCGGUGGCGAAAGCGGCCUCCUGGACUGCCCCUGACACUCAGACGCGAAAGCUAGGGGAGCGAACGGG
rnacentral:rRNA from 1 species